GACGAACGCUGGCGGCGUGCCUAAUACAUGCAAGUAGAACGCUGAAACUUGGUGCUUGCACCGAGCGGCUGAGUUGCGAACGGGUGAGUAACGCGUAGGUAACCUGCCUGGUAGCGGGGGAUAACUAUUGGAAACGAUAGCUAAUACCGCAUAAGAGUAGAUGUUGCAUGACAUUUGCUUAAAAGGUGCAAUUGCACCACUACCAGAUGGACCUGCGUUGUAUUAGCUAGUUGGUGGGGUAACGGCUCACCAAGGCGACGAUACAUAGCCGACCUGAGAGGGUGAUCGGCCACACUGGGACUGAGACACGGCCCAGACUCCUACGGGAGGCAGCAGUAGGGAAUCUUCGGCAAUGGACGGAAGUCUGACCGAGCAACGCCGCGUGAGUGAAGAAGGUUUUCGGAUCGUAAAGCUCUGUUGUAAGAGAAGAACGAGUGUGAGAGUGGAAAGUUCACACUGUGACGGUAUCUUACCAGAAAGGGACGGCUAACUACGUG
rnacentral:rRNA from 1 species